CACGUAGGGCGCAAGCGUUGUCCGGAAUUAUUGGGCGUAAAGAGCUCGUAGGCGGUCUGUUGCGUCCGCUGUGAAAACUCGGGGCUUAACCCCGAGCCUGCAGUGGAUACGGGCAGACUAGAGGUAGGUAGGGGAGAAUGGAAUUCCCGGUGUAGCAGUGAAAUGCGUAGAGAUCAUGAGGAAGACCAGUGGCGAAGGCGGGUCUCUGGACAGUUCCUGACACUGAGACACGAAGGCCAGGGGAGCAAACGGG
rnacentral:rRNA from 1 species